CCUACGGGAGGCAGCAGUGGGGAAUUUUGCACAAUGCUCGUAAGCGUGACGCAGCGACGCCGCGUGAAUGACGAAGGCCUUCGGGUCGUAAAGUUCUUUCUGCAGGGAGGAAGGUACUUAUAAUUAACUCUUUAUUUCUUGACGGUACCUGUAGAAGCAGCACCGGCUAACUCCGUGCCAGCAGCCGCGGUAAUACGGAGGGGGCAAGCGUUGUUCGGAGUUACUGGGCGUAAAGCGCACGUAGGCGGUGUUGUAAGUCAUAAGUGAAAUCCUAGGGCUCAACCUGAGUACUGCAAGUGAUACUGGAAUACUAGAGUAUCAGAGAGGAGGGUAGAAUUCCAGGUGUAGCGGUGAAAUGCGUAGAGAUCAGGAGGAAUACCGGUGGCGAAGGCGGCACCCUGGAUGGAAACUGACGCUGAGGUGCGAAAGCGUGGGGAGCAAACAGGAUUAGAUACCCGGGUAGUC
rnacentral:rRNA from 1 species